AGUGAACGCUGGCGGCAUGCCUAAUACAUGCAAGUCGAACGGAGUGGCGCACGGGUGGGUAAUGUAUAGCUAAUCUGCCCUCCACUAGAGGACAACAGUUGGAAACGACGGCUAAUACUCUAUAGUGUAGGAUGAGGCUAUGUUGUAUCAGCUAGUUGGUGAGGUAAUGGCUCACCAAGUCGAUGACGCAUACCUGGUCUGAGAGGAUGAUCAGUCACAAUGGAACUGAGACACGGUCCAGACGCCUACCGGAGGCAGCAGAAGCGAAUAGUGCGCAAUGGGGGAUAACCGGAAGCAGCAACGGCGCGUGGAGGAUGACACUUUUCGGGGCGGAAACUCCUUUUGUUAGGGAAGCGGUACCUAACGAAUAAGCACCGGCUAACUCCGUGCCAGCAGCCGCGGUAAUUC
rnacentral:rRNA from 1 species